rnacentral:lncRNA from 1 species
UCUUUGGACUCAGUGCCUACCCAUCUCCUGGCGGCCUUGGUCGGCCCACAGCUUCCUCAAGCCAAGCUCCCCAGGCCCAGGUCAGGCCUCACGGUGGCCUCUCCAGGAUGAGCUCCUGCCCUCCGAUGGCAUCUCCAGGCCCCAAAUGGUCUCCGGUCGGUGGGCUCCUCCACGCCAAGGUUGGGCCUCCCGGCGACUGCCGCAGGCCCAAGUUGUCCUGAAGUCGGGCUCUCCCGGCCCUGCCUCCCAGCAAGUAAGCAAGCUCUUUUGGCUCAACUCCUGCCCAGCUCCCAACCGCCUUUGUAGGCCCCGAACUUUCUCCAGCCAAGCUCUGAGGGCCCACCUCCUGCCUCCUGGUGGCCUGUACAGUUCUAGCACUGGUUGGAGAACAGCCUCUGCAGGCCCCGCCCUUGCCUCCCAGGGGCCUCUCCAGGCCCAGCUCUUGCCCCCACGGCGGCCUCCCGGGGCCAAGUCCCUGCCUGCCUCCCAGCAGCCCGCGUGCGGCCCAGCUCCUCCCUCACGGUGGCCUGUUGAUGCCCAACUCAUGCCUCUGGCACCCUGCCCAGAGGCGUGAGCCCCUGCCUCACACUGGCUCCUCCCACGCUGAGAGAGGUCAGUGUGAGCCCUUGCCUCACACCGGCCCCUCCCACGCGGACAGAGGUCAGCGUGAGCCCCUUGCCUCACACCGGCCCCUCCCACGCUGAGAGAGGUCAGUGUGAGCCCUUGCCUCACACCGGCCCCUCCCACGCGGACAGAGGUCAGCGUGAGCCCCUUGCCUCACCCCGGCCCCUCCCACGCUGAGAGAGGUCAGUGUGAGCCCUUGCCUCACACCGGCCCCUCCCACGCGG